GCAGUCGUGGCCGAGUGGUCAAGGCGAUGGUCUCGAAAACCGUUGGCGUGUCCCCGCAAGGGUUCGAAACCCGCCGACUGUG